ACCCCUUGACUAUGGGCAAAGAGACACCUUGUGCGUGGUAUUGUUCUUAUAUCAGUCAGGGGCAAAGCAGAUAACAGUCUUUUGCUUCUCUGGCUUUAGGCCUAAUAUGGUGGCCACAGCUGUUUUAUGUCUAAGACACAUCA